UCAAAAACUAAGACUUAGGACCCCCUCAGAAUCUAAAAAUCUAAGACCUAAGACCCCCUCCAAGCAAGGAAUUUUUGGGUGGCAAAAAUUAAACCUGAUGUUGAUUUAAGUUUCAGAUUAAAGCAAACUCCUGCCCAAAGGUUCCUGACCAUGAAAUUCUGGGUGCCCAGCACUUAAGCUUAUAUGAAAAAGUAGUUUACAAACUGAUAGAUCUUGGCUAUGCAAAGGAACUGGAUCAAGGAAGUCUGGCUACCACUUUUGUCGGGACUCUAAAAUAUCUGGCCCCUGAACUGCUUGACAAGGUGCAAUACACAAAAACGGUGGAUUAUUGGAGUUUUGGCACACUCUUGUUUGAAUGCAUUACUGGAAUGCGGCCUUUUCUUACCGAACUAUCUCCAGUCCAGUGGUAU